AAUAAUUUCCUUUUUGAUUAGAAAAACAAAACAAACUACCUUAUUGUUAGUUUCGGAAGUCAUGUGCAUGUUGCAUAUUCCCGGAUUCGCAAUAGUGAAUAUCUUGGCAAUUCUUGUUUGUCAAGAUAUUAAUUAUCGCGAAUCGAGGAUUAUGUAGGAUGAACAAUUUGAUUAGCAGCUUAUGAGACACCUUCCUCUUCAACAUAUUCUCUCCUUCCUCCGAACCAAUAAAGUUAAUGGAUAUUUUUUAUGGGAAAUUUUGAUGCAUCACGUUUCUGUUUCUUUUCAUUUAUCUUAUUUUCUUUUGGUGGUACCAGAUUUGCACUUUUGAUGUAGUUGUUGGUUUUCCGGUAUUUGCUCAGACAUUUUCUUAUCGUUUUGCUAGCACUAGCCCUUAGGCUUGAUUAUUUGGCCAUUUAAAAUCAACUUGUCAUUGAUCACAGUUGCUACACCAAAUUCAUGUGGUUUUUAAUCGAAAAAUAUUCAAUAAUAGUAUUAGACAGUCUAAUGCCAUUUAAAACCAACCUCUGUUAGGCUUUUCCAUGUUUCUGAUUUUAAUUUUAAUUAUUCAAGUGGUUCAUAAAUCUAAUGCUUCUUUUCUUCAAAUUGCAGGGAUGUAGAGUACAUGCCUAGAUAUUGUGCAAUGUCUUUGACACCACUGUUGAUAUUGACUUAUGUUAGAUUUUCUGUUCUUAUUUCUUGUCACUUGAUGGCGGAUUGGAUGAAUUUGCACAUAUAUAAGAAAAUUUGUGAUUUUAUUUUUGUUAUUGAAACAAGUAAAUUGGCGACUUCAACACCUAAGAAACAAGAGAACAAUGAAUCUGCUGUCUUGAGAAUUUAAUUGUUUUGUUGCGUACCUAAUGAUCAUGAUCAUGAUUUCUCCUUCUUUUGAUAACUUGAAGAAACUGCAUACUACCUCUGGUGAGUGGGAUCUGUUUCUUUCUUCAUUCUUCCAUAUACCAAAAACUUCUCAUCAAGCCUUGUGUUGUUUGUACCUUAGGAAACAGUAAAUAACAAGCAGAAAAAAUAGUAAAUCAUUUCCUUCAAUGUUAUUGUUAGACUUUGUAAUGUAGUGUAGUUGCUUAGUAGAUGUAAUUAACCCUGGCUUAUAUUCAGGUGUGGUCAUUAUUGAGAGAGAUAGAUGCCCUCGGUGCAAGGGAAACAAGACUUCCCAGUGAAAGAAGGUGCAGGUUGUGAAGGGGAUGCAGCAGUGUCCAGAAGAUUGUAUUAAAAAGGGUACCACGCCUUGAUCUGGAUUAAGGUACCACAGCAAGCACCAAGGAUGAAGCUGAUGCCGUGGGAAGCUUUUAGGUGCUGUUGCAUAUUUAAAAAAAUAAAUAAAUAUCAAUGUAUGUUGGUGCCUUGCUGAGAUUUCGAUAUCCGCUAAUUGUUGUUGGAGCUUGCUGUUUUUGGCUGCUGUAUGCUGGAGCUGAUACUGUGGACUGUCGCUGAUGUUGAUGUUGUUGUUGUCGUUGCUGUUGCUGUUGCUGUCGCUGUUGUUGUUGUCGUUGUGGUGUUUGUUGUUACUGAUAUCUGUGUUGUUGUUGCUGUUGCUGUCGUCGUUGUUUGCUGUUGCUGAUAUCUGUUUUGCUGUUGCUGUCGUCGUUGUUUGCUGUUGCUGAUAUCUUUUUUUCGCUUAACUUUAUUCUCGUUGCUGUGUGGUUUAUGCUAUUUUUCCUGUUUGGUUUUGGAGCUAUUUUACUGAUGACUAUUCAAGUCUGCUACGGACUACGGAUUUGCAAAGGAAUAUUUACUACUGUCUUGAUUAAUUUCUUUAGUUGCAGUUUGGUUUUCCCAAGUCGGUGGUACUCUUUUUCCUUGAUAGGUUUUUAUCCUAUUGGGUUUUUCCUAGCAAGGUUUUAAUGAGGCUACCUCUUGGGAUUCUGUUAGAAGCCAUUCUGUGGGUUGGUGGUGGGUUUGUGCAUUUCCUAUUGCACCUUUGCUAUUGUAAUGGUCUUUCUUGGACAUCUUGUACUUCCUCUAGUCUUGGGUCACAAUUUUGGCUCAGGCAUCAUUCUCAAUAAUAUACAUUUCAUUUUCAAAAAAAAAAAAAAAAAGCUUUGCAUAUCUCUAACUAUUUUAGUCCAACUGAAGUUAUUUUG